AUGGCUCAGAUGAACGCUGGCGGCAUGCCUACACAUGCAAGUCGAACGGUAACAGGUCUCGGAUGCUGACGAGUGGCGAACGGGUGAGUAAUACAUCGGAACGUGCCCGAUCGUGGGGGAUAACGAGGCGAAAGCCUUGCUAAUACCGCAUACGAUCUACGGAUGAAAGCGGGGGAUCUCGGACCUCGCGCGGACGGAGCGGCCGAUGGCAGAUUAGGUAGUUGGUGGGAUAAAGCUUACCAAGCCGACGAUCUGUAGCUGGUCUGAGAGGAUGAUCAGCCACACUGGGACUGAGACACGGCCCAGACUCCUACGGGAGGCAGCAGUGGGGAAUUUUGGACAAUGGGCGAAAGCCUGAUCCAGCCAUGCCGCGUGCAGGAUGAAGGCCUUCGGGUUGUAAACUGCUUUUGUACGGAACGAAAAGCCUCUUUCUAAUAAAGAGGGGUCAUGACGGUACCGUAAGAAUAAGCACCGGCUAACUACGUGCCAGCCGCAGC
rnacentral:rRNA from 1 species